rnacentral:rRNA from 1 species
GAUGAACGCUGGCGGCGUGCCUAAUACAUGCAAGUCGAGCGAACGGACGAGAAGCUUGCUUCUCUGAUGUUAGCGGCGGACGGGUGAGUAACACGUGGAUAACCUACCUAUAAGACUGGGAUAACUUCGGGAAACCGGAGCUAAUACCGGAUAAUAUUUUGAACCGCAUGGUUCAAAAGUGAAAGACGGUCUUGCUGUCACUUAUAGAUGGAUCCGCGCUGCAUUAGCUAGUUGGUAAGGUAACGGCUUACCAAGGCAACGAUGCAUAGCCGACCUGAGAGGGUGGUCGGCCACACUGGAACUGAGACACGGUCCAGACUCCUACGGGAGGCAGCAGUAGGGAAUCUUCCGCAAUGGGCGAAAGCCUGACGGAGCAACGCCGCGUGAGUGAUGAAGGUCUUCGGAUCGUAAAACUCUGUUAUUAGGGAAGAACAUAUGUGUAAGUAACUGUGCACAUCUUGACGGUACCUAAUCAGAAAGCCGCGGCUAACUACGUG